rnacentral:tRNA from 3 species
GCGGAUGUAGUUCAAUUGGUAGAGCGUCAGCUUCCCAAGCUGAAUGUUGCGGGUUCGAGUCCCGUCAUCCGCUCCA